GCUGAACUAGCCACGGGUUGUGGUGAACCAGGAUACAUAGGUGCGUUUGUUCUAAUUUAUUUACUUAUCGCACUUAUUUAUUUCCUGCAAUUUUUAAAUUCCGCAAGUUUACGCUAAUUUUUAUUAUAACGCUAUUCUUUAUUUACUUAUCGCACUUAUUUAUUUCCUGCAAUUUUUAAAUUCCGCAAGUUUACGCUAAUUUUUGUUAUAACGCUAUUCACCCCCCCUCUAGAGUUAAGCGUAUUAUCUAACAAUU
rnacentral:lncRNA from 1 species